rnacentral:rRNA from 1 species
AUAUUUAAAACUGAGGUAAAAUUCUGUAUUUGAAGUAGUAAAUAGCUUGUUAAUCUUUAAAUUCAUGACUAUAAAAAAGGAUUAGAUACCCUUGUAUACAUGAAGAUCCAACCUUAAGUAGUAGAAGCUAUUUUUUUUGAAAUUUAAAGGGUUUGGCGGCUUUUAGUUUAAUCAGGGGAAUUUGUACCUUAAUCGUCAGCACGCGCUAGACCUUACUUAAUUUAUAGUUUGUAUACCGCCGUCUUAAUAAUCUUUAAAAAGUGGAUUAAAAUUAGGAAUAAGUACGACAGGCCAUGGUGCAGCAUUAUUAAGAUGGUUACAAAUUACAUUUUAAAUAGAAUUGGAUUUAAAUUUAAAAUUUUAUUGAAAGUGGACUUGUAAGUAAUUAUAAAUUAGAAUAUUAUAAUAAAUUUUAACCUAAAAGUGCACAUAUCGCCCGUCACUCU